rnacentral:lncRNA from 1 species
AUCCAUCAUCUUCGCAAAAAAAAAAAAAAAAAAAAAAUCCUUACAAACUCUGAACCAUAUCCAUGUGUUGUAAUAGAAGUUAUUUUGAAAAAGCAUAUCCAUUUUGAAAAAGACAAAGGAGUAAGUAUUGGUCGGACCACUUAUCUUACAUAUAUUUAAGUCAUUGUUCUCUCACACGACUACAUAAUAUUUCCACCACACAUACAAAUACAAACUUAUCUCAUACAAAUUCAUUAUAAACAUAAAAUCAGUGGCAUGUCUGGUCAGUGCAAGUAAGAUUACAAGAAAAAAUGGAUAAACGAUGGAGUCUUCAAGGUAUGACUGCUCUUGUGNNN